CAAGGUGCUGCAUGGUUGUCGUCAGCUCGUGCCGUGAGGUGUCGGGUAAGUCCCAUAACGAGCGCAACCCUAACAUUAGUUGCCAUCAGGUCAAGCUGGGGACUCUAAUGAAACUGCCUACGCAAGUAGUGAGGAAGGUGGGGAUGACGUCAAAUCAGCACGGCCCUUACGUCCAGGGCUACACACGUGCUACAAUGGCCGGUACAAAGGGCAGCUACCUGGGUGACAGGAUGCUAAUCUCAAAAGCCGGUCUCAGUUCGGAUCGGAGUCUGCAACCCGACUCCGUGAAGCUGGAAUCGCUAAUAAUCGCGCAUCAGCCAUGGCGCGGUGAAUACGUUCCCGGGCCUU
rnacentral:rRNA from 1 species